GAUGAAGAACGCAGCGAAAUGCGAUACGUAAUGUGAAUUGCAGAAUUCAGUGAAUCAUCGAGUCUUUGAACGCACAUUGCGCCCCCUGGUAUUCCGGGGGGCAUGCCUGUCCGAGCGUCAUUGCUGCCCUCAAGCCCGGCUUGUGUGUUGGGUCUCGUCCCCCUUCCCGGGGGGACGGGCCCGAAAGGCAGCGGCGGCACCGCGUCCGGUCCUCGAGCGUAUGGGGCUUUGUCACCCGCUCUGUAGGCCCGGCCGGCGCUUGCCGAUCAACCAAAACUUUUUUCCAGGUUGACCUCGGAUCAGGUAGGGAUACCCGCUGAACUUAAGCAUAUCAUAAGCGGAGGA
rnacentral:misc_RNA from 1 species